AGCUUUUUUUCAUAUGUUUGUUGGCCACAUAAAUGUCUUCUUUUGAGAAAUGUCUGUUCAUAUCCUUCGCCCACUUUUUGAUGGAGUUGUUUUAGAAAAAAUCCAUUGUUAAUCAGGCAGAUGACUUUGGAGGAAAUAUUUUUUUAAAGCCAUCCAGCAGAAUGCCUUCUCAUCUUUAUAGGACCUACUUCCUGGUCCUUCAACUGUUUCUGUGUCUUCUCACCUUAAAAAAAUAAAAUACAAUGUACAGUAACCUUUUAAUCAAAAUACAGCAUUGUAGGUGGAGACUGAAAGGCUGCCAUUGUUUGUUGUUUAACAGCCGAUCCUGAUAUUCUGGUGAUGCUACUGUGCUGCUUCGUUACACUGAACACGUAAUUUUUUCACUAUAUUAAUGGUAUGUCAUUUUUUUAAACUGUAAGAAAAUGAUUGCUUAUCAGUAGCAUAUAAAUUCAGAGUCAGGAAUGAUGGUGAUGCCAAACAACCACAUUGUCUACCUGGGUUGCUGAAAUAAUGACACCUUUGCUUUGUUCAAUGUAUACAAACUUUGUUUCAUGCACAAAAUUAUUUAAAAUAUUGUAUAAAAUUACCUUCAGGCUAUGUGUUUAAGGUGUAUAUGAAACAUAAAUGAAUUUCAUGUUUUUAAGUGCUUUUAAGCAUUUUUAAGUGUUUUCCGUGGGACAGUUUGUAUAUCUAGCCCACCAUAGUACCAGUAUUCUAUCAUAUGUUUUCUCCACCCCUGCUCUGAGGAUGUAAAACUGUUAGAAAAAAUAAAUCACAAAAUUGAGCUGAUUGGCUCCACAAAAAAUUUAUGAUUUUCAGCCUCAGCUGGGUCUUCUCUAUUGUUCUACAAAUCUUUAAUUCAUCUUUAUUCAGUUCCCUUUCUGAUUUCCCACAGCAGCUGUUUCAACCCGUUACUACACUUCAAUCCUCCCACUCCAACCUCUUCAUCUUUUAAUCAUUUCGGAAAAUGAAGCUUCCUACUUCACAACAAAAAAAAGACUUUCAGAAGUACCAAUCACAACAGCUUGAAAAUUUGAAAACCUGAUCCUUCACCACAGGUGCUUUUGCUUGCAAGGUCAAAAUCGGAAGUUCAGGAAGAUCACCUGAAUCCAGAGCUUUUGAUUUCAGAAGCCUAGGUUCAUUGAGGAAAAGUAUGCUGACUUGUCCCAGAGGGUUAACAGGUGAAUGCUUUUGAGUAGAGGUGGGAGAAGCUGUCUGACAUAGAAGUUGAGCUUCUCCGGUACCAGAGAGGAGAUGGGAGUAAUGGUAGAUUCCAUGAGCAUCAAGGAUUACUUUUGCUGCCUUUUAGUGUCCUAAAGAAGAUACAAGAUCUCAAGAGAGAAUGAAGACAUGGUACACUUAAGAAAGUCUGAAUACUAGUCCAUGAGGAUGCCAACCUCAGCCAAAACACCCCACUAUCACCACCAAUGUGCAAGGGUGGCACAGAAGCAGCUACCCUGUCUAACUUUAAGGGGAUUUGCCUGACAAACAUAUCAACAAUAUUGGGUAUGCACAAAAGGGCAUAGGGCCUACACUGAAAGUUGUGUUCUGGGUAUCAUUUGCUAGGGUCUUCAUACAACCUUGACAAAGGGAGAUAAAAACCAUGAGUGAGAUGGAAUUUUUAGCCAGCUGGAAAGGUGAAAGUUUCCGAGCAGAUUGUUGUAGGGAUAUAAAGAAAUGUGACAUUUUUUGCCAGUUAAAAUGGCGAUCAUAAAAAAGUCAGGAAACAAUAGGUGCUGGAGAGGAUGUGGAGAAAUAGGAACACCAGCAAUCCCAUUACUGGGUAUA